UACGGAGGGUGCAAGCGUUAAUCGGAAUUACUGGGCGUAAAGCGCGCGUAGGCGGCUUUGUAAGUCGGAUGUGAAAGCCCCGGGCUUAACCUGGGAAUUGCAUUCGAUACUGCAUAGCUAGAGUAUGGUAGAGGGUAGCGGAAUUCCGGGUGCAGCGGUGAAAUGCGUAGAUAUCCGGAGGAACACCAGUGGCGAAGGCGGCUACCUGGACCAAUACUGACGCUGAGGUGCGAAAGCGCGGGGAGCAAACAGG
rnacentral:rRNA from 1 species